CUACGGGGCGCAGCAGUGGGGAAUAUUGCGCAAUGGGCGAAAGCCUGACGCAGCGACGCCGCGUGAGGGAAGAAGGCCUUCGGGUCGUAAACCUCUGUCAGGAGGGAAGAACCCCAUGGAUGCGAACAGCGUCUGUGGCUGACGGUACCUCCAGAGGAAGCACCGGCUAACUCCGUGCCAGCAGCCGCGGUAAUACGGAGGGUGCGAGCGUUAAUCGGAAUCACUGGGCGUAAAGCGCACGUAGGCGGCUUUGCAAGUCGGGCGUGAAAGCCCUCGGCUCAACCGAGGAACUGCGGUCGAAACUGCAUGGCGUGAGUUCGGGAGAGGGUGGCGGAAUUCCGGGUGUAGGAGUGAAAUCCGUAGAUAUCCGGAGGAACACCAGUGGCGAAGGCGGCCACCUGGACCGAUACUGACGCUGAGGUGCGAAAGCGUAGGGAGCAAACAGGAUUAGAUACCCCUGUAGUC
rnacentral:rRNA from 1 species